rnacentral:misc_RNA from 1 species
GAUGAAGAACGUAGCAAAAUGCGAUAAGUAAUGUGAAUUGCAGAAUUCAGUGAAUCAUCGAAUCUUUGAACGCACAUUGCGCCCGCUGGUAUUCCGGCGGGCAUGCCUGUUCGAGCGUCAUUUCAACCCUCAAGCCCCCGGGUUUGGUGUUGGGGAUCGGCUCUGCCCUUCUGGGCGGUGCCGCCCCCGAAAUACAUUGGCGGUCUCGCUGCAGCCUCCAUUGCGUAGUAGCUAACACCUCGCAACUGGAACGCGGCGCGGCCAUGCCGUAAAACCCCAACUUCAGAAUGUUGACCUCGGAUCAGGUAGGAAUACCCGCUGAACUUAAGCAUAUCAAUAAGCGGAGA